rnacentral:rRNA from 1 species
UACGUAGGGUGCGAGCGUUAAUCGGAAUUACUGGGCGUAAAGCGUGCGCAGGCGGUUAUGCAAGACAGAUGUGAAAUCCCCGGGCUUAACCUGGGAACUGCAUUUGUGACUGCAUGACUAGAGUACGGUAGAGGGGAAUGGAAUUCCGCGUGUAGCAGUGAAAUGCGUAGAUAUGCGGAGGAACACCGAUGGCGAAGGCAAUUCCCUGGACCUGUACUGACGCUCAUGCACGAAAGCGUGGGGAGCAAACAGG